UACAGAGAGUGCAAACGUUGUUCGGAAUUACUGGGCUUGAAGCGCACGUAGGCGGCGUUGUAAGUGUCGGGUGAAAUCCCACGGCUCACCCGUGGAACUGCCCGGCAUACUGCGAUGCUAGAGUGUGGUAGGGGAGAGCGGAACUCCUGGUGGAGCGGUGAAAUGCGUAGAUAUCUGGAGGAACACCGGUGGCGAAGGCGGCGUUCUGGACUGUUUCUGACACUGAAAAACGAAAGCCAGGGGAGCAAACGGG
rnacentral:rRNA from 1 species